CGCAUCUGUGCAUGCAGCAUAUCAAUAAGCGGAGGAAAAGAAACUAACAAGGAUUCCCCUAGUAACGGCGAGUGAAGCGGGAAGAGCUCAAAUUUGAAAUCUUAAAGGGUUUCCCUUUACGAAUUGUAGUUUAAAGAAGUGUUUUCUGUUGAGGUUUUGGUAAAAGUUCCUUUGGAAUAGGACAUCAUAGAGGGUGAGAAUCCCGUAUUUGACCUUUACUUUCAACUUUGUGAUACACUUUCAAAGAGUCGGAUUGUUUGGGAAUGCAGUCCAAAAUGGGUGGUAAAUUUCAUCUAAAGCUAAAUAUUGGCGAGAGACCGAUAGCGAACAAGUACCGUGAGGGAAAGAUGAAAAGAACUUUGAAAAGAGAGUUAAACAGUACGUGAAAUUGUCAAAAGGGAAGCGUUUGACACCAGUGUUGUUCUUCUGAAAAUCAAUUAAAGAACUGUUUAUGCUAAGUUGUUUAGACUUUAUCAGCUAACUGUUUAGUUUUGAGCUUUUCUUUAAUGCACUUUUCAGUUAACAAGUCAACAUCAAUUUCUUUUGCUGUAAAAAAGCUCGAGGAAGGUGGCUUGAGAUUCGUCUUAAGUGUUUAUAGCCUCUUGCCUAUGCAGUCGGAGAGAUUGAGGUCUGCAGCGUAGAUCCUUCGGGGCUAAAUGCAUUUGUGCUAAGUUAUAGCAUUUUAUAGACAACUUGUUGACUAUGAUUUGUCUUGUAGCUUACUCGCUUAUGUUAUUUUACCUACGCUUAGGAUGUUGAACGCGCACAGAGUCUC
rnacentral:rRNA from 1 species